ACACUGCUGAGGAGUCCCAUAUUAGGGUGAAACGGCCGUCUAGUGU
rfam:Schistosoma curassoni strain Dakar, Senegal genome assembly, scaffold: SCTD_contig0000613